rnacentral:rRNA from 1 species
CUAAUACCGCAGAUGUCGGUGCUUCGGUGUUGUGACUGAACCUCCGGGGUUCGAGGAGUGGGCCCGCGGCCGAUUAGCUGGCUGGUGGGGUAAUGGCCUACCAGGGCGGCGAUCGGUAGCUGGUCUGAGAGGAUGAUCAGCCAGACUGGGACUGCGAGACGGCCCAGACUCCUACGGGAGGCAGCAGUUAGGAAUUUUGGGCAAUGGGCGCAAGCCUGGCCCAGCAACGCCGCGUGGGUGAUGAAGGCCCUUGGGUCGUAAAGCCCUUUUCCCAGGGACGAUGGUGACGGUACCUGGGGAAUCAGCCCCGGCUAACUACGUGCCAGCAGCCGCGGUAAUACGUAGGGGGCAAGCGUUGUCCGGAUUUAUUGGGCGUAAAGCGCUCGCAGGCGGCUCGCUGCGUCGUGCGUGAUACACCCCGGCUCAACUGGGGAGGGUCGUGCGAUACGGUCGGGCUUGAGGCCAGUAGGGGGAUGCGGGAAUUCCGGGUGUAGUGGUGGAAUGCGUAGAGAUCCGGAGGAACACCAGCGGCGAAGGCGGCAUCCUGGACUGGUACUGACGCUCAUGAGCGAAAGUGUGGGGAGCGAUCCA